GGAGGGAGACGGAUCGUUUACUUUGAAAAAAUCAGAGUGUUUCAAGCAGGCAGCUCGCUCUUGCAUGGAUUAGCAUGGGAUAAUGAAAUAGGACUCUGGUGCUAUUUUGUUGGUUUCGAACACCGGAGUAAUGAUCAACAGGGACAGUCAGGGGCACUCGUAUUCCGCCGAGAGAGGUGAAAUUCUCAGACCAGCGGAAGACGAACCACUGCGAAAGCAUUUGCCAGGGAUGUUUUCACUGAUCAAGAACGAAAGUUAGGGGAUCGAAGACGAUCAGAUACCGUCGUAGUCUUAACCAUAAACCAUGCCGACUAGGGAUUGGGGGCUGUUCCGUUUGUGACUCCCUCAGCACCUUUCGGGAAACUAAAGUCUUUGGGUUCCGGGGGGAGUAUGGUCGCAAGGCUGAAACUUAAAGGAAUUGACGGAAGGGCACCACCAGGAGUGGAGCCUGCGGCUUAAUUUGACUCAACACGGGGAAACUUACCAGGUCCAGACAUUGUGAGGAUUGACAGAUUGAGAGCUCUUUCUUGAUUCGAUGGGUGGUGGUGCAUGGCCGUUCUUAGUUGGUGGAGUGAUUUGUCUGGUU
rnacentral:rRNA from 1 species